rnacentral:rRNA from 1 species
CCUACGGGAGGCAGCAGUGAGGAAUAUUGGUCAAUGGGCGCGAGCCUGAACCAGCCAAGUAGCGUGAAGGAUGACUGCCCUACGGGUUGUAAACUUCUUUUAUAAAGGAAUAAAGUGAGGCACGUGUGCCUUUUUGUAUGUACUUUAUGAAUAAGGAUCGGCUAACUCCGUGCCAGCAGCCGCGGUAAUACGGAGGAUCCGAGCGUUAUCCGGAUUUAUUGGGUUUAAAGGGAGCGUAGAUGGGUUGUUAAGUCAGUUGUGAAAGUUUGCGGCUCAACCGUAAAAUUGCAAUUGAUACUGGCGGUCUUGAGUACAGUUGAGGUAGGCGGAAUUCGUGGUGUAGCGGUGAAAUGCUUAGAUAUCACGAAGAACUCCGAUUGCGAAGGCAGCUUACUAAACUGCCACUGACAUUGAUGCUCGAAAGUGUGGGUAUCAAACAGGAUUAGAUACCUCAGUAGUC